rnacentral:tRNA from 1 species
GGCAAGAUGGCCGAGCGGUCUAAGGCGUGUGACUCAAGUUCUCAUCAGGGAAAUCCUGGCGUGGGUUCAAAUCCCACUCUUGUCA